CCAUGCAUGUCUAAGUAUAAGCUUGUUAUACGGCGAAACUGCGAAUGGCUCAUUAAAACAGUUAUAGUUUAUUUGAUAGUCAGUUCAAUACUACUACAUGGAUAACCGUGGUAAUUCUAUGGCUAAUACAUGCGCAAAUACUAUAUUCCUUGAGGAUAUAGUAGUGUUUAUUAGAUACAGAACCAAUACGCUACCACAAAUUUUGUGGUAGUGUAGAAAAAAGGUGAUUCAUAGUAACCGAACGGAUCGCAUAUAAUAAUCAUCCUCGGAUGAUUGGCGAUAGAUCAUUCAAGUUUCUGACCUAUCAGCUUUCGACGGUAGUGUAUUGGACUACCGUGGCAGUGACGGGUAACGGGGAAUUAGGGUUCGAUUCCGGAGAGGGAGCCUGAGAAACGGCUACCACAUCUAAGGAAGGCAGCAGGCGCGCAAAUUACCCAAUCCUGACUUAGGGAGGUAGUGACAAGAAAUAACAACACUGGAGAUUUUAUUUCUAGUGAUUGGAAUGAUGGGAAUCCAAACCCCUUUCAGAGUAACAAUUGGAGGGCAAGUCUGGUGCCAGCAGCCGCGGUAAUUCCAGCUCCAAUAGCGUAUAUUAAAGUUGUUGCAGUUAAAAAGCUCGUAGUUGGAUAUCUGCUGGAAGCAAUCGGUCCGCUCUAUUAUUAGGGUGUGCACCUGAUGAAUUCUGGCAUGUUCUUUCCAAUAACUACUAGUCAGAUUUAUUUCUGAUUCUGGGUUGUUGGGAAAGCGUUACUUUGAGAAAAUUAGAGUGUUUGAAGCAGGCUAUUGUUGCCUUGAAUACUGCAGCA
rnacentral:rRNA from 1 species